CUUGACCUCAAAUCAGGUAGGACUACCCGCUGAA
rnacentral:rRNA from 3 species